rnacentral:rRNA from 1 species
UCGUGAUAUGCUUGUCUCAAAGAUUAAGCCAUGCAUGUGUAGGUAUAACCUGUAUACCGGUAAACUGCGAAUGGCUCGGUAAAUCAGUUAUAGUUUAUUUGAUAGUGCAGCUACUCGGAUAACCGUAGUAAGACUAGAGCUAAUACGUGCGUAAAUCCUGACUUUUUGAAGGGACGUAUUUAUUAGAUUUAUGGCUAACCGGGCUUGCCCGACCAGCGGUGAAUCAUGGUAACUUGACGGAUUGCAUGGCCCUCGUGCCGGCGACGUGUCAUUCAAGUUUCUGCCCCAUCAGGUUUCGACUGUAGUGUAUUGGACUACAGUGCCUAUAACGGGUAGCGGAGGAUUAGGGUUCGAUUCCGGAGAGGGAGCCUGAGAAACGGCUACCACAUCCAAGGAAGGCAGCAGGCGCGCAAAUUACCCAAUCCCAAUUCAGGGAGGUAGUGACAAGAAAUAGCAAUGCGGGGGGUUAUACUUCUGCAAUUGAAAUGAGAACAAUUUAAACCACUUAACGAGUAUCAAUUGGAGGGCAAGUCUGGUGCCAGCAGCCGCGGUAAUUCCAGCUCCAAUAGCGUAUAUGUAAGUUGUUGCGAUUAAAAAGCCCGUAGCUGAACCUCGGGUAGCCCUGACGGUCCGCCUAAGGUGAGUACUGUCGUGGGCUGCCUUUCUGCUGGGUGCCGUAUCCGGCGUUUACUCGCCGUGAACGGAGCCCAGCAAGGUUACUUUGAGUAAAAUAGAGUGUUCAAAGCAAGCAGGUGCUCUGAAUACACUAGCAUGGGAUAACACGACAUGACCGAUGGUCUAUCUUGUUGGCCUGUAGACCUGUUGGUAAUGGCUAAUAGGGACGGUCGGGGGCAUUCGUAUUUCGCUGUCAGAGGUGAAAUUCUUGGAUUUGCGAAAGACGAACUACUGCAAAAGCAUUUGCCAAGGACGCUUUCAUUAGUCAAGGACAAAAGUCGGGGGAUCAAAGACGAUUAGAUACCGUCGUAGUCUCGACCAUAAACGAUGCCAAUUAGGGAUUGGAGGGCGGAACAAUGUGCCUCCUCCAGCACCUUCCGCGAAAGCAAAAUUUAUGGGCUUCGGGGGGAGUAU